UACGGAGGGGGCUAGCGUUGUUCGGAAUCAUUGGGCGUAAAGGGCGCGUAGGCGGCCGAUCAAGUCGGAGGUGAAAUCCCUCGGCUCAACUGAGGAAUUGCCUUUGAUACUGUUCGGCUUGAGUCCUGGAGAGGGUAGCGGAAUUCCCGGUGUAGCGGUGAAAUGCGUAGAGACCGGGAAGAACACCAGUGGCGAAGGCGGCUACCUGGACAGGUACUGACGCUGAAGCGCGAAAGCUAGGGGAGCAAACAGG
rnacentral:rRNA from 1 species